rnacentral:rRNA from 1 species
UGGGGAAUAUUGGACAAUGGGCGAAAUCCUGAUCCAGCCAUGCCGCGUGUGUGAAGAAGGUCUUCGGAUUGUAAAGCACUUUAAGUUGGGAGGAAGGGCAUUAACCUAAUACGUUAGUGUUUUGACGUUACCGACAGAAUAAGCACCGGCUAACUCUGUGCCAGCAGCCGCGGUAAUACAGAGGGUGCAAGCGUUAAUCGGAAUUACUGGGCGUAAAGCGCGCGUAGGUGGUUUGUUAAGUUGGAUGUGAAAUCCCCGGGCUCAACCUGGGAACUGCAUUCAAAACUGACUGACUAGAGUAUGGUAGAGGGUGGUGGAAUUUCCUGUGUAGCGGUGAAAUGCGUAGAUAUAGGAAGGAACACCAGUGGCGAAGGCGACCACCUGGACUAAUACUGACACUGAGGUGCGAAAGCGUGGGGAGCAAACA